AGAGAGAGAGAGAGAGAGAGCACAAUUAACUUGGAGAGAAAUGAAAUCAAAUCCUAAACCUCCAAAGAAGUUAUGCCUCAAACCAAGAAAAAUGAGAUCAAUAAAUAAGGCAUGUUUCUGGAGGACAGCAGUGGGGGGAAAUUGCUAAUUUUCGUGUUAACAUUCAAGGCCAUGCAUUAUGUAUAUAGUUGGUUUCUUUGAAUCUUUUGCAGUCUCUCUUCUUGUUAGAGCCAUCAUUUCCACAUCCACAGAGUUCAGCCUCGUUGUAGUAGUUGUCAUCACAACAUCUUUUAGUUUCUCUCAUCAUAGAACUGGCAUUUUUCUCAUCUUGAGCAUAUGCUAGGCGGGCACCACAUUUUUUCACCUUGCAUUCAGUACCUACAGGCUUUAGGAACCUAUCCAGAAAGCGGAAUUCAAUCAACACCUCAUUGUAGUAAUGCUGGCUGAAAAUUUCAUAUCCUUCAGCAUAUAAAGAAGGAUCAAACCCCAGAAGCAGAUGAUCAGACACGAUUGAUCUUGGAUGACCUUGCUCAGCAUCCCAACCACCAAAACAAAAACUAAAAUGCAAGUGAUGAGAGUAACUAUCUUUGAAAUGGUAACUGCCUAAAACUUGGAAACCACUGUCAGCGAGAUAGUCCUGAAAUUUAACAACAGCACACAAGGUGAAACCCAGGAACUUGCAAUUAAACCAAUCUGGAGGUAGGUGAAUUGUUAGUGAAGAUCCCCUGCUUUGAUUGACAAACCACUUUGGAAUCGUUCUUCCAGGGAAGUGAAAACUAUAAGGGUAUCGUCCUCGUAGAAAAGACAUCUGAACAUAUAACAGAAUGGUCCUCUGUGUACUCUCAUCCAAUUUGAGGCAAUUGGUAAAAAUGAACUCAAAAUUGUAUUUCUUGAGUCUAGUAAGUAAGCCUGAUACUGUUUCCAAUGAAGUACAUUCAUGUGCAUCCAAUAAUAUUAGACGUGGUGGAAGCUGCGGCAGUGAUUGAAACCUCUUGCAAUAUUUUAAGCCAAGGUAUAGCAAUCUUGAGAGUUCACUGAUGCACGGAGGUAGGAUCUCGAAAUUGUUUUCACUGAGAUCUAAUACUUUCAAUGAGGAUAAGCAGCCAAUGCUAUCUGGUAUUUCAAGCAGAUUGCAACCAUUGAGAACUAGUUUCCGCAAAGAUUUUAGAUGCCCAAUCUUCUCUGGCAAUUUCACAAGGUCUUUGCAGUUACUCAAGCUCAAUUCAACAAGUCCUUGUAGAUUUUCAAUUUGAGAGGGCAACUCUUUUAUGCUCGUUCCAUCUACCUGAAGUAUUUCUAAAAGUUUCAACUGACAAAUACUGCCUGGGAGACUCUCAAGUUUUGAGCAGUUUCUCAAUGCCAAGUCAACAAGACCAGAUAGACAUCCAAUUGAUGUAGGAACAUCCUUUAUUGAAGUCCCACUUAAAUCCAACUGUUUUAUGUUCCCUGAAAUCUCUGGGAACUUGGCGAGUCUUGAGCAACCAUGGACAGACAAAUAUUGAAGAGAUUUCCAGGAGCAAAUGUCAUCUUGAAGUUCUUCUGCUGCAUCCCCCCUUGUAUCCAUAUUAAUGCUGCUUGGAAGAUUCCUAAGACUUUUGCAUGAUAUUAUAUUCAGAUGGAUAAGCUUGUUGAGACAUCGAAUUGAUGAGAAAACAUCAACCAAACUUAUACAAUGGGAAAGAUCUAUUUCCUCCAGAUUUGUGGCCCGAGAGAGGUCUGGAAUUGCAAUUAGAUGGUUGCAAGCCCGAAGGCUUAUCCUUUUUAAAUUCACAAGAUUCUGCGACAAAAUGGAAUUUGCUGGACUCCUAUCCAAAGUUGUUCAACUUUACCAUCAGACAGGAUAAGUUCCACAAGAUUCUGAGGAACAAAAUUAGAUGGGAAAGAUUUCAGAGGGUAUCCAUCCCAACGGAGAUAUCUUAACUUAUCAGGAAGAGACAUGAGACCAUGAGGAAGGUGCACUUUAUAGUUUCCCAUCUCUGGAGUAUAGAAUUCAAGCAAUCUAAGAUUAGUCAUUGCAAAAAAUGCUUUAAAAUCUACUUGAAUCUCUGAAACUGCGGACAUGUUUAAGGAUAUGGCUUCAAUUCUUCUAGUUCCCAAGUUUUUUGUCAAUACAUGAUGGACAUCCUCAGCUCUCCACAACCUGCUGCGUUUGCCAGGCUCUUUAAUGGAUUCUUUAAGAACAAUUUCCCAACCCAUGUCUUGCAAUAAAUCAUGCAUCUGUAGCCUAUACCAGCCAUUCCCCAAAUUCCUAUGAUACGAAAAUCAGCCAAUCCAAUGCUUAAUAAUUUUUCAAUUUCCUCUAAACGUGGUUGGAGUCCAACUAGCCCCCGAAUAUCAUUCAGAUUUUCACAAUUCAGUUUCACAGAUUCAACAAUUUCAUUAAUGAGUUUAGACUCAGGCCUCGUAGCCAGCGAAACCCAACCAGAAAGAUUGGCAACUUCUCUCAAAGCAGCCCUCCACCUAUGCACCUUAUCCAUCUCCUCCUUGAAUUGUUCUUCAAGGUUAACAAAUGCAUCUCCAAAAUACCCAGUCUGCUUCUCAACAUCUGAUGGAUCUACAUGGUAGAAAACAGGUACAAUUAUCUGCCCAUUUCGCCUCUUGCAUUCAAGAAUCUUUACAAGUACAUCCAAGCACCAGGUGGAUGAAGCAAAGUAUUUUGAGAAAAUAAUCAACGCUAGCUUUGAUUCUUCGAUCACUUCUUCUGAAAUUAGUGGCGAUCUUUCAUUAUCUCCUCUUCUAAGUGAAUCAUCCACGAAGGUCUUGAGUUGUUUCUGACACAGAGCAGCAUUAAGAUCACUGGCAAAAUUAGAGCAAGUGUCCUCACCUCUGAAGCUAAGAAAUACUUCAUAUUUUUCUUCUUUGAGGGAAGAAGAAGAUGAUGAACAAGAAGCCAUAUUAGAAAGUGAACUCGUUGGUUGUGUGGGAGAUCACAAUAAAGGGGAAGAGAGACUCUUGAGACAUGAAAGUAAAAGGAGUGUCAACUGUAAGAACCCCACUAUUUUUUCC
rnacentral:misc_RNA from 1 species